ACGGAGGCAGCAGUGGGGAAUAUUGGGCAAUGGGCGCAAGCCUGAUGCAGCGAUGCCGCGUGAGGGAAGAAGGUUUUCGGAUUGUAAACCUCUGUCAUCGGGGACGAUAAUGACUGUACCCGAGAAGGAAGCUCCGACUAACUACGUGCCAGCAGCCGCGGUAAUACGUAGGGAGCGAGCGUUAUCCGGAAUUACUGGGUGUAAAGGGAGUGUAGGCGGGACUGUAAGUCAGAUGUGAAAUAUACCGGCUCAACUGGUAGACUGCAUUUGAAACUGCGGUUCUUGAGUGAAGUAGAGGUAAGCGGAAUCCCUAGUGUAGCGGUGAAAUGCGUAGAUAUUAGGAGGAACAUCAGUGGCGAAGGCGGCUUACUGGGCUUUAACUGACGCUGAGGCUCGAAAGCGUGGGGAGCAAACAGGAUUAGAUACCCUGGUA
rnacentral:rRNA from 1 species